UCCCUGGUGGCUCAGAGGUUAAAGCGUCUGCCUGGAAUGAAGGAGACCCGGGUUCGAUCCCUGGGUGGGGAA
rfam:TPA: Bos taurus chromosome 1, whole genome shotgun sequence.